rnacentral:misc_RNA from 1 species
GUAUAGUAGUGCUUGUGCACAACAAGAGUUUCAUUACAUUCGAGUUUGUAUGUAAAAUCCUCUGCCCGCCGAAGCUAGCAAGAGGCCAAAGGUUCACAGGGGUAUUGGAAUGAAAGCCACCGACGUGCACUUGCAGGAGCCAGCACAGAAGGCAACAGUUUACAAUCAAUAAUGAUCCUUCCGCAGGUUCACCUACGGAAA